GGGGGUAAUAUUGACUGAUUAAAAUUUUUAGAAAAGGAUAAACUAACAUGUUUCUUCCCUACCUUUAUAUUCUUCACGCAUAAAAGGAAAUACAUGAGGGCAUACAAAUAAGAUGAUCUCGCUUCUAUGGUUCCAGUUUCAAGGAAACAACUCGAGAUUGUCUGUUACGCUUAGCCACCUUGAGAAACACCAUAGAGAGGCACGAAGGUGCCCACCAUGGCCGACGUACCUUUUGCUCCCCUUUCAAGCAAGCCACUUUAAUUCGUCGGAGUUCCUUACAAAG
rnacentral:misc_RNA from 1 species